rnacentral:rRNA from 1 species
UGGGGAAUCUUAGACAAUGGGGGAAACCCUGAUCUAGCCAUGCCGCGUGAGCGAUGAAGGCCUUAGGGUUGUAAAGCUCUUUCAGCUGGGAAGAUAAUGACGGUACCAGCAGAAGAAGCCCCGGCUAACUCCGUGCCAGCAGCCGCGGUAAUACGGAGGGGGCUAGCGUUGUUCGGAAUUACUGGGCGUAAAGCGCACGUAGGCGGAUCAGAAAGUCAGAGGUGAAAUCCCAGGGCUCAACCUUGGAACUGCCUUUGAAACUCCUGGUCUUGAGGUCGAGAGAGGUGAGUGGAAUUCCGAGUGUAGAGGUGAAAUUCGUAGAUAUUCGGAGGAACACCAGUGGCGAAGGCGGCUCACUGGCUCGAUACUGACGCUGAGGUGCGAAAGCGUGGGGAGCAA